rnacentral:rRNA from 1 species
CCCUUAGAUGUUCUGGGCCGCACGCGCGCUACACUGAUGCAUUCAACGAGUUUCUUCCUGGUCCGAGAGGAAUGGGUAACCUUUUGAAAGUGCAUCGUGAUAGGGAUAGACUAUUGCAAUUAUUGGUCUUCAACGAGGAAUUCCUAGCAGACGUAGUUCAUCAGACUGCAUCGAUUACGUCCCUGCCCUUUGUACACACCGCCCGUCGCUCCUACCGAUUGAAUGCUCAGGUGAGCCAUUCGGACUUUCAUCAUGCUGGUUUCCAGUUUUGAUGAAGGAAAGUCUUGCGAACCUUAUCAUUUAGAGGAAGGAGAAGUCGUAACA